UACGUAGGGGGCAAGCGUUGUCCGGAAUUACUGGGCGUAAAGGGCGUGUAGGCGGCCGAUCAAGUCAGGUGUGAAAUUCCAGAGCUCAACUCUGGACGUGCACUUGAAACUGGUUGGCUUGAGUGCAGAAGAGGAAAGUGGAAUUCCCAGUGUAGCGGUGAAAUGCGUAGAUAUUGGGAGGAACACCAGUGGCGAAGGCGACUUUCUGGUCUGUAACUGACGCUGAGGCGCGAAAGCUAGGGGAGCAAACAGG
rnacentral:rRNA from 1 species